rnacentral:rRNA from 1 species
UCCAGUUGAUCCUGCUGGCGGCUGCGGCUCUUUGGUUUGCGUUUAGACAUGCAAGUUUUUCUGUUCAUUGAAUGGAAAGCGAACUGCUCAGUAACACGUAGCUAAUCUGCCCUUAGGUCAGGGAUAUCCUCGGGAAACUGAGGUUAACACCUGAUAAGAGAUAUUCCUGGAAUGAUUUAUCUCUGAAAUUCGUGCCUAAGGAUGAGGCUGCGGUGGAUUAGGUAGUUGGUGGUAUAAGAGACUACCAAGCCAUUUAUCCAUAAGGGCUCUUAGCGGAGAGGCCCUGAGAGGGAAUCUGAGAUACUAUUCCCAGCCCCACGGGGUGCAGCAGUUAGGAAUAUUCUGCAAUGCGCGCAAGCGUGACAGAUUGAACCAGAGUGUUUGUCAUUAGACAGACUUUUGUGGAAUGUAAAAAGUUCUACGAAUAAGGACUGGGUAAGACUAGUGCCAGCCGCCGCGGUAAUACUAGCGGUCCAAGUCGCAGCCACUUUUAUUGGGUCUAAAACAUCCGUAGCUUGUUUGGUAAGUUUCUUGUGAAAUCUUGUCUCUUAAAGACAGGGCGGGCAGGAAAUACUGCCAGGCUAGAGAUCGGGAGACGUAAUGAGUACGGCUAAAGUAACAGUAAAAUGUUUUAAUCUUAGUCGGACUAACAAUAGCGAAGGCACAUUACGAGAACGGUUCUGACAGUAAGGGAUGAAAGCUAGGGGCGCAAAACGGAUUAGAUACCCGUGUAGUCCUAGCAGUAAACACUGCACACUAAACAUUGGGACCUCUUCGGGAGGUUUCAGUGCUGCAGGGAAGCCGAAGAGUGUGCUACCUGGGAAGUAUAGUCGCAAGACCGAAACUUAAAGGAAUUGGCGGGGAGACACUACAAUGGGUGACGCGUGCGGUUCAAUUAGAUUCUACACCGUGAACCUCACCAGGAGCGACAGCAGGAUGAAGGUCAGUCUAAAGGGCUUACCUGACACGCUGAGAGGAGUUGCAUGGCCAACGUCAGCCUGUGCCGUGAGGUGACCUGUUAAAUCAGGUAACAGGCGAGACCCACAUGUAUAUUUACUAAGUGUACCAUAUACAGAUUGCCUUGGUAACAAGGAUGAAAGCGUGGGCUACGUUAGGUGAGUACAGCCCGAAUCCCCUGGGCAACACGCGCGCGGCAAUGGUGAAUACAACGGGACGCGACUCUGAAAAGAGAAGCUAAUCUCUUAAAAUUCAUCUUAGUCCAAAUUGAGGUUUGUAACCCAACCUCAUGCCGAUGGAAUCCAUAGUAAUCGUUUGUU